CAAAUAUUAAUAUAUAUAUAUAUAUAUUUUGUUGUUUUAAGUACAUUAGAAAAAAUCGAAUAUUUUUAAUAGUUUAUAAAUCGACGUGAUAUUCCUGACUUUUAUAAUAAAAAGUAACAACAGCCUAGCAUGUUUUCACUUCUGCGUAGAGAAACCUAAGCGUCAAAUUCUUCUAAGUAUUUUGCACCUAGCGUUAAAUGUAAAAUGUCAAUAAAUUAUAUUGAUUCCUGGGGCUUACAGAAUGCAAUGAAUUCUGUCAACGGAUGCACGACUGGUGUAAGCUAAGUAAAUAUCAUCUCUUUUUCCGUCAAAAUCUAUCCCUUUGGUAUCUUUAUAGAUCUUCUUCAAUAAAACUGAUAAACAUGGUCAGGAAUUGUUCGCUGCAACAAAUUCCUCAACUUGUUCUGACAUUUAACAGAACACAAAAGCUUUAUCCUAAAUAUACAGAAAUGUCUCUUAUAGGCCAUUAUUACUUCAAAGUAACAGAACUGUAUCAUAAAAAAAAAGUAACAAAAUGAUAUUUGAAAUGCAAGAAGAUAAGUUGUUAUUGAUAUUCAAACUUAGAAUUAUAAUAUACACAAUUUUUUAUUUGGUAAACACCGACAGAAGCACAAAUAAUAUCAAUUGAAAAAAAAGAUUUCGCUUGCUUCUACUGCAGAUAGUUUGCGCAACAUUUAUUUUAUUUUAGAUUAAUGGUAUUAGCAACCGUCAUGAAUAUUUGUAUUAGUUUUCUCUGAGACAUUACAGAAUUAAGAUGUAUAUGCCAUCUCAUUAAAGAAACUAUAAUUAUUGGGUAAAAUGCCAAAAAAUUAUCAUGUUACUUGAAAGUAACACUAGCCCAUAGAUGGUUAAUAUCUUUUUUCAUUCUUGGUUCAAGAAGCUCUAGUAAAUUUUCUGUUUAUAAGAACUAGAUAUUUUUUUAUAACGAAAAAAUGAAAAGGAUUUAAUAAAGUAUCAUUCCGGGUCUUUAAUUUCGCAUGUCAUAAAAAUAAGAUAUAAUAAAUAUUACAAUUUCAUUUUUAUAUUAUUAAUUUAUAUCAGUUACCAUUCGUUAAAAAAUAAAGACGUUAUUCCUAA